rnacentral:lncRNA from 1 species
UUUUUUUUAAGUUUUAUUGAAGUAUAGUAGAUUUGCAAAGUUGUGAUAAUUUCUGCUGUACAAAAAAGUAAUUCAGUCAUACAUACACACAUAUCCAUUCUCUUUUAGAUUCUUUUCCCAUAUAGAUUAUCACAAUACUGGGUAGAGUUCUUUGCUAAACAGCAGGUUCCCAUUGGCCAAUCAUUCCACAUACCUCAGUGUACAUAUGCCAAUCCAAAACCCCCAGUCCAUCCCUUCACCCGUCCCACCUGUCCCCUUCCGUAACCAUAAGUUUUUCAAAGUUUGUGACUCUGUUUCUUUUCUAUAAAUAAGUUCAUUUGUAUCCUUUUUUGUUUGUUUGUUUUGAGUCCACAUAUAGGUGAUAUCAUAUGACGUUUGUCUUUCACUGAAGAGAAAGUAUGGUAGCUUCUAGGUCCAUCCAUGUUUCUGCAAAUGGCAUUAUUUCAUUCUUUUUAUGGCUGAGUAAUAUUCCAUUGUAUAUAUGUACCACAUCUUCUUUAUUUAGUCCUCUGUUGAUGGACAUUUAAGUUGCUUUCCAUGUCUUGGCUAAUGUAAAUAGUGCUAUAAUGACACUGGGGUGAAUGAAUCUUUUCAAAUUAUGGUUUUCUCUGGAUAGAUGCCCAGAAAUGGGAUUGCUGGAUCAUAUGAUAGUUCUAUUUUUAGUUUUUUGAGGAACCUCUAUACUGUUUUCCAUAAUGGUUGCACCCAUGUACAUUCACACCAACAGUGUAAGAGGGUUCCCUUUUCUCUACACCCUUUCCAGCAUUUAUUAUUUGUAGACUUUUUGAUGAUGGCCAUUCUGGCUGUUGUAAGGUGGUAGCUCAUAGUGGUUUUAUUUGCAUUUCUUUAAUAAUUAGUUAUGUUGAACAUCUUUUCAUGUGUAUUGUUUGGUUUUUGUUUUGUUUUUAUUUUUGUUUUUUGGCCAUCUAUAUGUCUUCUUUGGAGAAAUGUCUAUCUAGCCCUGCCCAUAUUUUCUAUUGGGUUGGUUGGGGUUUUUGUUUGUUUGUUUGUUUGUUUGUUUGUUUUAGUAUUGAAUUGCAGGAGGUGUUUGUAUAUUUUGGAGAUUAAUCCCUUGUCAGUUGUAAAUAUUUUCUCCUACUCUGUGUGGUGUGUUGUCUUUUCAUUUUGCUUAUGGUUUCCUUUGCUGCACAAAAACUUUUUAAGUUUAAUUAGGUCUCAUUUGUUUGUUUUCAUUACUCUAGGCAGUGGAUCUGAGAAGAUAUUGCUGCAGUUUAAGUCAAAGAGUGUUCAGCCUUAGUGUUCCUCUAAGAGUUUUAUAGUACCCAGUCUUACAUUUAGGUCUUUAAUCCAUUUUGAGUUUAUUUUCGUGUAUGGUGUUAGAGGAUGUUCUAAUUUCAUUUCUUUGUCAUGUAGCUGUCCUGUUUUCCCAGCACCACAUAUUGAAGAGAUUGUCUUACUCCGUUUUAUAUUCUUGCCUCCUUUGUCAUAGAUUAAUGCACCAUAGGUACUUGGGUUUAUUUUGGGGCUUUCUAUCCUGUUCUGUUGAUCUACAUUUGUUUCUGUGCCAGUACCACACUAUUUUGAUGACUAUAGCUUUGUAGGGCAAUCUGAAGUCAGGGAGCCUAAUUCCUCCAGCUCCACUUUUCUUUUUCAGGAUUGCUUUGGCUAUUCAGUCUUUUAUGUUUUGAUUUGCAUUUUUCUAAUAAUUAGUGAUGAUAAUUAUCUUUUCAUGUUCCUAUUGCCCUUCCAUAUGUCUUUUUUGGAGAAAUAUCUGUUUAGGUCUUCUGCCCAUUUUUUGAUUGGUUUGUUUGUUAUUGAGUUAUAUGAGCUCUUUGUAUAUUUUGGAAAUUAAGCCCUGUCGGUCAUAUCAUUUGGAAAAUAUUUUCUCCCAGUUAUAGGUUGUCUUUGUUUUGUUCCUGGUUUCCUUUUUUGUACAAAACUUAUAAGUUGAUUAGGUCCCAUUUGUUUAUUUUUGCUUUUAUUUGUAUUGCCUUUGGAGACUGACCUAAGAAAAUAUUGGCACAAUUUAUGUCUGAGAAUGUUUUAUGGUGUCAUAUCUUGUAUUUAAGUCUUUAAACGAUUUUGAGUUUAUUUUGUAUCUGGUGUGAGGGUGUAAGAACCACUGCUUUCAUAUCAAGGUUCCCCAAUCUAGAUUCUUAUCAUAAUCACAUCAGACACUUAAAAACAAACAAUAACAAAGAAAAAUAUAUUCCCUGGUACAUGUAUAACUGAAUCACUUUGUUGUACAGCAGAAAUCAUCACAACCUUAUAAUUCAACGAUACUUCCAUAAAAAUUAAAAAAAAAAUCUUCCCUGGAUAUUUUGCUGAUUUGCCAGGUUUGGGAAUCAUUGCCGGAGAGCCAGAACUACACUAAAUGAACAUCAUUGGUUUUAUUCUCUCUGCAAACAGGGACCAUCCCCCUCUCCAUCCCCAUUCUUAUCUUCCAAGAUUUGGGUUGGGGUGGGAGAACUCUGAAGCAUCCCAAAACCAAAUACCCAAGAAAAGCAAGGCAAAAUGAAUAAUGGCACUUCCAGGAAUUGCUUCUUGCAGUGCAGGAUAAAAUCCUGCUGUCACUUUACAACAUGGCCUCUAUCAUGGCUGUAACCAUUCUAUGAAAUACACGAUCACUCUCAGACUUAAUUUUCCAUAUAUUUUGGAGAUGCUCAAUUGAGUAAGAUGCAGAGGCAUGUAUAUUUUCCUAUGAUAUAUGCACCCAAGGUAAAAAUAUCCCCUAAAGGAUAAAUUUCAAGAACUAAGAGCCUCCAGAGACCUGAGGAGAGUGUGAAGUCAGGCAGGCAGAAAAUGAAGGGGCUUGCAGGUCACACAUGCUACUUACUGAGUUUAGACUCUAUACUCCUUAUUUGCAGACUCAUUUUUUUUAGUAAUUGACAAAAAAAAUGAAUAUAUUUAAAGAGUACAACUUGAUGUGUAUAUACUGUGAAAUUAUCACUACAAUCAACCUAAUUCAUCACUUUACAUAGUUAUCACUUUUUUUUCUUUUUCUUCUCUCCCUUUUCCUUACCACACUUCAUGUUAAGCCCACACUAUUUGUUCUUCCUAGAAUGGAAUGUGUUCAUGCUUCUAUUUUUUUAUGUCCUUUUCCCACUAUUGGUAUGCUUUUCCUCUACUUUCCUCUCUACCACUUAACAUAGUAUUUUUUUGAGACAAGUCAACUCAAAUAUCACCUUAUCCGGUAAGCCUUCUCUUAUUCCCCAAGCAGUGCUCUCUCGUUCAUGCUUGCAUCACCCUUUAUGUAGAUCUCAGCAUAAUACUCAUGACACUUUGCUGUCAUUAUUAGCUAGUUGUUUCUCUCUUCAAUCAGAUUGAGAACUCUUUGGGGUACAGACCUGGUUUUUGUAUAUCUGGUUUCUAAAAAUGCCUGCUAAGUAAAUGAAUUUUUAAAAAAAGAAUGAGGCAAUUACUAUUUAUACUUUGAACAGCAUUAUAUUUAGUCUAGCACCAAUGUGCAAAGAUUAAGAAACGAAAGAAAGGGAAACCAAGGAUGAGAAAGAAAAACUCAUCAGAAUGGAACAGGAUAGUUAAGGACCAUGCUGGCCAAGUCAGGGUGGAUUUAAAAGAGAAAGAUAGAGAGACUAUGGCCAGCCAAGUGAAGAAGAGAAUGGAGUUCAAAGUAUGUUCAAAAAAAUUCAAGGAUGACUCACAAGAUCUGGCAAAAAGCAGAAUUAGAAAGGUGAGAACGGUAUUCAUAGAAUGAGGACUGAAUCAGCUGAGGGUCAGAGUUAACCAAGUGGGAGGCUAUACAGCAGAACCUGGGAUGGUGGCACCAGGAAGACAAGUUGUCAGGGCAGUGACAGCCGCAGGGAGAACUCUGACGAGUUCUUCCUUCAAAAAAGUCACUGAAUCCCUUUGCUCUCAACACCUAUAACUACACAGGACAGUUCUCUGUCCUUCCCCCAUCAUGGCUGGAUGUCAAAGGCACUGGCUCC